GCUUCUGCGGGGGAGCGUGGCUUGAGGCGCGGCGGGUAUGUCUGCUGCUGAGGUGUGGCGUGGAAGGCGUGCGUGUGUGCGCGCGUGUGUGUGUGUGUGUGCGCGCGCGCGUGUGUGCGUGCAAGGCGAGUGCGUGCGCCCGCCCCUGCGCCCCUCCCCCGCCUACACCUUGAUCUUAUUUGAUCGGGUCGGGACCCCAGCCCCGCCAGGCCCACCCGAGAUGAGAAGCUGUCCCCCUGCGAUGCCCGGCCCGGGCGCUGUGCAGCGAGGCCUUUGAGGGCGGCGGCAGCACCGAGGCCCCGGCGCUCCCGGAGCCGCCCCGUGGGGCCCGGUGCUCAGACGUGAUGAAUUGAUCAGAUAGACGAGGCCGGGCGCGUCCUGGGCCAAUGAUUAUCGAGGCGAUUCUGAUCUGA